GGGCCCGCACAAGCGGUGGAGCAUGUGGUUUAAUUCGAUGAUACGCGAGGAACCUUACCAGGGCUUAAAUGUAGUAUGACCGGCUUGGAAACAGGCCUUCUCUUCGGAGCAGAUUACAAGGUGCUGCAUGGUUGUCGUCAGCUCGUGCCGUGAGGUGUUAGGUUAAGUCCUGCAACGAGCGCAACCCCUAUUCUUAGUUGCCAGCGGUUCGGCCGGGGACUCUAAGAAGACUGCCAGCGCAAGCUGAGAGGAAGGUGGGGAUGACGUCAAAUCAUCACGGCCCUUACGUCCUGGGCUACACACGUGCUACAAUGGUUGUUACAGAGGGAAGCGAACUCGCGAGGGCAAGCAAAUCUCAAAAAAACAAUCUCAGUCCGGAUUGGAGUCUGCAACUCGACUCCAUG
rnacentral:rRNA from 1 species